AUUAGUAAACCACUUUAAUGGAUUGAUGAGACUGAAAAUGGCAUUAGAGGAUAUGGAAAAUCUCUAUGUGAAAGAUUUGAUCAAGAAUGGUGAUUGGUGCUUUGGUGGUUUUGAGGACUGGUUUUCUGAAGAAGAUAAUGAAGUGAUUAGAAGGAUUUGCAUUCCUAUUUUCAAUCAAAGAGACAGGUUUGUGUGGAUAGGGAGCAAGGAUGGUGAUUAUUGUGUAAAAUUGGGCUAUAAAGUAGCUCUAUAUAAAGCUACAGAGAAGAUUGUUUCAGUACCUACUCUUACGUACUUCAAAGUCACUUUGGUCGGGAAUUUGACAUAUCAAGAUGCCUAUAAAAGUCCU